GAUGAAGAACGUAGCGAAAUGCGAUAAGUAAUGUGAAUUGCAGAAUUCAGUGAAUCAUCGAAUCUUUGAACGCACAUUGAGCCCCCUGGUAUUCCGGGGGGCAUGCCUGUUCGAGCGUCAUUUCACCACUCAAGCCUCGCUUGGUAUUGGGCAACGCGGUCCGCCGCGUGCCUCAAAUCGACCGGCUGGGUCUUCUGUCCCCUAAGCGUUGUGGAAACUAUUCGCUAAAGGGUGUUCGGGAGGCUACGCCGUAAAACAACCCCAUUUCUAAGGUUGACCUCGGAUCAGGUAGGGAUACCCGCUGAACUUAAGCAUAUCAAUAAGCGGAGGA
rnacentral:misc_RNA from 1 species